GAAAUAGCUUAUUUUAUUAAUUUUGGUAUAACAGUAGGUACAGUACAAUUAAUAUGCUGCUUUGUCACAGAAAUUAAUCAGCACUAGUAUAUGGUUUAAAUUAUACAGAACCAUACUGUUAAAUAUGUGCAUAUUCUUUUUGGCUGUCUUAAAAAUAAACCCCAAAAAUGUAAAUAAAUACCACCUGGUUCAUUUUUACCACCCCUUGGAAGAAGAUGGAAUAAUUGUCAUAUGUUUUUGAGUUUAUGUUUAGCAGAUUUAUACUACAUAUAUGUAUGUUUUGUUAAAGACCAACAGUCACAAGAUUCUGAAGAGCUAUACAUUAUUGAGCUAGGUUAAUGCCCUUGGAUUAUAUGGGACUAAAGGAUGACAAUAAUCAAUCAAGGUGGAGAGAACCAUGAUGAUCAUUUACUACUACUCCCCCACCAGUCAAAGCCCAGUCAUGAGAAGGAGAUGAAGGUCAUGCACCCACAUAUUGCUUAGCA
rnacentral:lncRNA from 1 species